rnacentral:rRNA from 1 species
CAGCAGCCACGGUAAUACGUAGGGCGCGAGCGUUAAUCGGAAUUACUGGGCGUAAAGCGUGCGCAGGCGGUUGUGUAAGACAGGUGUGAAAUCCCCGGGCUUAACCUGGGAACUGCGCUUGUGACUGCACAGCUAGAGUAUGGCAGAGGGGGGUGGAAUUCCACGUGUAGCAGUGAAAUGCGUAGAGAUGUGGAGGAACACCGAUGGCGAAGGCAGCCCCCUGGGCCAAUACUGACGCUCAUGCACGAAAGCGUGGGGAGCAAACAGGAUUAGAUACCCCCGUAGUCCCUGUCUCUUAUAA